AGGACAAUCGAGGGGUGCUGGCCUAUAUUUGGGCCGGCUGAGAUCAGACCCUUAUGAGCGGAUCAUGUUAAUGCAUGCGUCGCCACGAAUGCCCAUUUGUAC
rnacentral:ncRNA from 1 species